rnacentral:rRNA from 1 species
UACGAAGGGGGCUAGCGUUGUUCGGAAUUACUGGGCGUAAAGCGCGUGUAGGCGGGUCUUUAAGUCAGGGGUGAAAUGCCAGGGCUCAACCUUGGAACUGCCUUUGAUACUGGAGACCUUGAGUCCGGGAGAGGUGAGUGGAAUUGCGAGUGUAGAGGUGAAAUUCGUAGAUAUUCGCAAGAACACCAGUGGCGAAGGCGGCUCACUGGCCCGGAACCGACGCUGAGACGCGAAAGCGUGGGGAGCAAACAGG